GAUGAAGAACGUAGCGAAAUGCGAUACGUAAUGUGAAUUGCAGAAUUCAGUGAAUCAUCGAGUCUUUGAACGCACAUUGCGCCCGCUAGUAUUCUGGCGGGCAUGCCUGUCCGAGCGUCAUUUCAACCCUCGGGAGACCCUUUGCGGGGGCUGCCGGUGUUGGGGAUCGCCCGCCGCCAUGGUGGACGUCCCCUAAAACGAUUGGCGGUCUCGCUGUAGCCUCCUCUGCGCAGUAGCACUUGUUCUCGCAGGCGGAGCGCGGCGCGGCCAAGCCGUUAAACCCCCAACUUUUUUACUAGGUUGACCUCGGAUCAGGUAGGAAUACCCGCUGAACUUAAGCAUAUCAAUAAGCGGAGGA
rnacentral:misc_RNA from 1 species